AUUUGUUUCGCCUUACCCCCAGAAGCAAACUAAAGAAUACAUUAGCUAUGGACUCUAUGGCGUAUAAACAGACCCGUCGCGACAAGUCCAGUCAGCUGAACAAUACCAGUAUUCGUACAAAGGACGAAUAGAAUGCGCGUCCAGGCUCACAUUUGCACCGUUAUUGAACAGGAUAACAUGCCGAGGCCCAUAUUGCGAACAAAAUCUUUAAGCAAAUUAUUCCAAGAAUAUCCCUCAUCUUGUCUUCCAUGCCAUUUUUACAGCUGAUUUGUGUUCGAAGCACCUGUUGUCCAGCCAGAGCCUGCCCUAAUGGGUACUAUCCCUUUUUUUACAAUCCUCUCGGAAUCUGGUUUGGACUCAAUAGUCGCUGUAACGUUGCAUUUACGCCAUAUGGAACGCUCAAAAUGAUUUUGUCUAACUGUUUUGCAUUCACAGCUUGUGAAAAUGUUCGAAAAGCUGGCUUGUAACAUGUCAUGCACUUCUAUCUCCUCUCGCGACGGCCUCUACUGGCCCUCGCCUGAGAGGCUUUCUUCUCCGCCUCUUUUAAUCUCAAUCGCCUUCCCUCCUGACCAGCAAUACUUAGCGUGCUGAUGAUAAGCUCGGCCGUACGCAUACUCUGGGUAUAGGUCAGCAAUAAGGACCAGGGUCACUAAAGACAGAGCAACUUACCUCCAUGUUGGCCGGAAUAGGGUAGGUAACCAACCUUGGAUCCGUAUCAGUGUCAACAAUGCCAACCGUAGGUAUAUGCCGGGAAGUGCAUUCUCGAAUGGCAGGGGUAUUUUCAGAAGCAUUGAGGAAGAUGACAAGAUCUGGCUUGUAAGAUUUGUCAAGCAAUGGCUUCAUGCCAAAGCUACCACUGGUGAAUCCAUUGCCCCACAGCAAAGCCAUUGUCUUCUAAUCUCUCCUUGGCUUUCUGAAUCAUUUUUUGGUGACCUGGUCUUGUGCCAACGAUCAACACUAUCCCAUCAGCUUUGACUAUAUCCUUUACAAGAGCUGCCGUCCGACGGAGGAUAGGAAGGGUUUGAUCAAGAUCGAUAAUGGAAAGGCCCGCACGCUUGCCAUAGAUGUAGGGAGUGUAAGCAUGCGAGGUAAUGUUGGCAGCAUGGCCAAGGGCGGCACCUGAAGCCAGAAGAGUUGAGAGUGUGGCUUCGUGAGGAGAGGGGGCAGAGCGGUUUUUGGGAACGGCAGUGCUGCCCUCCGGGAUAUAAACCGACAAAGUGGAUCCUGGUGCCCAGCUUAACAUCUUCUGUCGUACCAAUCCUGGAAAACAACUCACGCUGAUGCUCUUUACGUUGUCGCCAUUGCCUCGCUUCUUGCAAAUUUCUCUUCCAAGCUUCCUCGGGAGACUCUCCUGGUAGAACUGAUCCGUUUCUGGGUCUCACUGAUGGCUCCGCUGUAUGAGCGACAGAAACCGACGAAGCAAACGUUCGGACUGUUAAGAAGUUAGAUGUGUGCUGGUUUACAAGAGAGAAAUGGUGCUCACCAGAUCUAGCUGCUGAAGACGAUCUAAGAGACCUGAAUGAAGUGCCGAUGGGGAUGCUCAUUUUGUGUUUGGGGAUGAUGUCUUGUUGAACAAGGUGAAUAACUUGUUCUUUACUGUGUUUGAGAGAGCGGUGAUUAUUCCUUCGUUCGUCGAUACCAUUCGUCGUGAGGAAAAAGUCGGCGGAAGCUGUUGGCGUGCCUAAAAAGUAUGCAUAC
rnacentral:sRNA from 1 species